rnacentral:rRNA from 1 species
AAUCAACGCUGGCGGCGUGCCUAACACAUGCAAGUCGAACGCGAAAGUUCCGCAAGGGAUGAGUAGAGUGGCGAACGGGUGAGUAACGCGUGGGUGACCUGCCUUCGAGUGGGGGAUAACGUUUCGAAAGGGACGCUAAUACCGCAUGACAUCCGGCCUUUGGAGAGGCGGCGAUGAAAGCUGGGGAUCGCAAGACCUGGCGCUGGAAGAGGGGCCCGCGUCCGAUUAGCUGGNGGUGGGGUAAUGGCCUACCAAGGCGACGAUCGGUAGCCGGCCUAAGAGGGCGGACGGCCACACUGGGACUGAGACACGGCCCAGACUCCUACGGGAGGCAGCAGUGGGGAAUUUUCCGCAAUGGGCGAAAGCCUGACGGAGUGACGCCGCGUGUGGGACGAAGGCCUCGGUCGUAACC